UGGGGAAUAUUGGACAAUGGGCGAAAGCCUGAUCCAGCCAUGCCGCGUGUGUGAAGAAGGUCUUCGGAUUGUAAAGCACUUUAAGUUGGGAGGAAGGGCAGUAAGCGAAUACCUUGCUGUUUUGACGUUACCGACAGAAUAAGCACCGGCUAACUCUGUGCCAGCAGCCGCGGUAAUACAGAGGGUGCAAGCGUUAAUCGGAAUUACUGGGCGUAAAGCGCGCGUAGGUGGUUCGUUAAGUUGAAUGUGAAAGCCCCGGGCUCAACCUGGGAACUGCAUCCAAAGCUGGCGAGCUAGAGUAGGGCAGAGGGUGGUGGAAUUUCCUGUGUAGCGGUGGAAUGCGUAGAUAUAGGAAGGAACACCAGUGGCGAAGGCGACCACCUGGGCUCAUACUGACACUGAGGUGCGAAAGCGUGGGGAGCAAACAGG
rnacentral:rRNA from 1 species